rnacentral:rRNA from 1 species
AUGAAACUACAAAAAAGAGGAAUGGAAGUGGAUACACGAUGUCCAAUAUGCCACCGACUAGAUGAAGACGGAGGCCAUUGUUUCCUAAAGUGUAAAUUUGCCAAGGCUGUUUGGAGAACUGCUUUACUAGAAGAAUGUCGGAUGCAACUUAUAAAUUGUCCGAAUGCCAUCUCGACAAUGGAGGACAUCCUGGAAAUGGAAGAGGAAAAAUGUCUAAAGAUCUGCAUCCUGUUGUGGUUAUGGUGGUCUGAGAGGAACAAAGCUAAUCAAGGAGAAAGGAUCAGGACUGCAGAUGAAGUCAUAUACUCACUACAACUGCAUUUGUUGGAGUACAAAAAAUACAUCAAGCGACAUGAGAAAAUUUGCAGGGCAUAA